UUUCUCUCUGCAUUGUUGGGAAAGGCCCAUAACCGAUGUCUCAACCCUCAACCGAUAUGAUCAACACGAUGAUGUAGCCGAUGUCUCAACCCUCAACCGAUAUGAUCGACACGAUGAUGUAGCCGAUGUCUCAACCCUCAACCGAUAUGAUCGACACGAUGAUGUAGCCGAUGUCUCAACCCUCAACCGAUAUGAUCAACAUGAUGAUGUAGCCGAUGUCUCAACCCUCAACCGAUAUGAUCAACACCAUGAUGUAGCCGAUGUCUCAACCCUCAACCGAUUUGAUCAACACGAUGAUGUAGCCGAUGUCUCAACCCUCAACCGAUUUGAUCAACACGAUGAUGUAGCCGAUGUCUCAACCCUCAACCGAUUUGAUCAACACCAUGAUGUAGCCGAUGUCUCUGCCUCAUAUUUCUGAACAGCAGAAAGAACAACCCUGUGGCUAUUUGAAUGAACAUUCCAAAAAUAAAUCUAUUUUCUAGGCUAAUUUAGGAUGUAGGCUACAACCUUCUCUAUCUGUUUUCAGUAAGGAUAUUGCAGUAGCAGAAGCAGGGCUCAGUCUACACAUUGCAUUGGGGCAAAACAAUCUGCCUUUUAACUAGACGUUUACAUUUGUGAUGAUGCUGUAGUAUUUAUAUCGUAGCCUGAGUUGCUGAGUACCACAUGAUUUGAUACACUGUGCAUGAUUGAAAUUCACCAGAGUAGCUGUUCCAACUCUGGGCAGCUGAAGCGUGUAGCCGCUAACCAGAGUUUGAGAGUGGGCGAGUUCAUUUUGGAACAGGCCCAGUGCCUACUGUUAUUCGACAUAACCUACUUUGAAUGGCCUGUCUGCCUCCUUUUAAACCAAUGUGUGCAAUGAAUGAAAAAAUUGAAUGUAAUUGCUGUUUAGACUGCCUGUCUGUGUCUUGCUUGUGUUUGAUAUGCUAAGUAUAAAUAGCUUGCCUAAAUAGA